rnacentral:rRNA from 1 species
GUAGGGUGCGAGCGUUAAUCGGAAUUACUGGGCGUAAAGCGUGCGCAGGCGGUUCGCCGUGUCCUGUGUGAAAGCCCCGGGCUUAACCUGGGAAUUGCAUGGGAAACUGGCGGGCUGGAGUGUGGCAGAGGGGGGUGGAAUUCCGCGUGUAGCAGUGAAAUGCGUAGAGAUGCGGAGGAACACCGAUGGCGAAGGCAGCCCCCUGGGCCAACACUGACGCUCAGGCACGAAAGCGUGGGGAGCAAACAGGAUUAGAUACCCUGGUAGUCCACGCCCUAAACGAUGUCGACUGGGUGUUGGGGAAGCGAUUCCUUGGUACCGUAGCUAACGCGUGAAGUCGACCGCCUGGGGAGUACGGCCGCAAGGUUAAA